GGGGCUUCCACAUCGCAGCCCAGUAGGGUGGACUGACCGGUCUUCUGACCUCUGGCUCCUUGGAGGGACUGGCCUGAGGUGGGCCCUGGCAUCCCCAGCCUCCUCUAAACCACCUCCCUGGAACAUGCGGGACAGGAGCCCAAGCGGCAUCUGAGGAGGGCGGGUUCUGCCAGGCACAGAGGGCUCCAGCGUGAUUGCCACUGGUUAAUGACCUGCCACCCCCGCCCCCCCAACCUCUGGUGCCGUCCAAGGACUCUGACCCCAGUGCAGUGUCUGUAGGGAAGAGGAGCCAUGGGGCUUCGGGCAGGCCCCAUCCUGCUUCUGCUGCUGUGGCUGCUGCCAGAAUGCGGCCACUCCAAGGAGGCCGGGAGGAUUGUGGGAGGCCAAGACACCCAGGAAGGACGCUGGCCGUGGCAGGUUGGCCUGUGGUUGACCUCAGUGGGGCAUGUAUGUGGGGGCUCCCUCAUCCACCCACGCUGGGUGCUCACAGCCGCCCACUGCUUCCUGAGGUCUGAGGAUCCCGGGCUCUACCAUGUUAAAGUCGGAGGGCUGACACCCUCACUUUCAGAGCCCCACUCGGCCUUGGUGGCUGUGAGGAGGCUCCUGGUCCACUCCUCAUACCAUGGGACCACCACCAGCGGGGACAUUGCCCUGAUGGAGCUGGACUCCCCCUUGCAGGCCUCCCAGUUCAGCCCCAUCUGCCUCCCAGGACCCCAGACCCCCCUCGCCAUUGGGACCGUGUGCUGGGGUGACUCCGGGGGGCCGCUGGUCUGCCCCAUCAAUGAUACGUGGAUCCAGGCCGGCAUUGUGAGCUGGGGAUUCGGCUGUGCCCGGCCUUUCCGGCCUGGUGUCUACACCCAGGUGCUAAGCUACACAGACUGGAUUCAGAGAACCCUGGCUGAAUCUCACUCAGGCAUGUCUGGGGCCCGCCCAGGUGCCCCAGGAUCCCACUCAGGCACCUCCAGAUCCCACCCAGUGCUGCUGCUUGAGCUGUUGACCGUAUGCUUGCUUGGGUCCCUGUGAACCAUGAGCCAUGGAGUCCGGGAUCCCCUUUCUGGUAGGAUUGAUGGAAUCUAAUAAUAAAAACUGUAGGUUUUUUAUGUGUA
ensembl:lncRNA PRSS30P serine protease 30, pseudogene